UUGGAGGGCAAGUCUGGUGCCAGCAGCCGCGGUAAUUCCAGCUCCAAUAGCGUAUAUUAAAGUUGUUGUGGUUAAAAAGCUCGUAGUUGAACCUUGGGCCUGGCUGGCCGGUCCGCCUCACCGCGUGUACUGGUCCGGCCGGGCCUUUCCCUCUGUGGAACCCCAUGCCCUUCACUGGGUGUGGCGGGGAAACAGGACUUUUACUGUGAAAAAAUUAGAGUGCUCCAGGCAGGCCUAUGCUCGAAUACAUUAGCAUGGAAUAAUAGAAUAGGACGUGUGGUUCUAUUUUGUUGGUUUCUAGGACCGCCGUAAUGAUUAAUAGGGACAGUCGGGGGCAUCAGUAUUCAAUUGUCAGAGGUGAAAUUCUUGGAUUUAUUGAAGACUAACUACUGCGAAAGCAUUUGCCAAGGAUGUUUUCAUUAAUCAGGAACGAAAGUUAGGGGAUCGAAGACGAUCAGAUACCGUCGUAGUCUUAACCAUAAACUAUGCCGACUAGGGAUCGGACCGAUGUUAUUU
rnacentral:rRNA from 1 species